ACUAAGUUGAACUAACGAAGUCAGAUUGCUAAGACAGCUAGGAUGUUGGCUUGGAAGCAGCCAUUCAUUUAAAGAGUGCGUAACAGCUCACUAGUCGAGGAGUUUGGCGUGGAUAAUAAUCGGGCAUUAAGUGUUUUACCGAAGCUAUGGGAUCAGUAAUGAUCGGUAGGGGAGCAUUCCACUCUGCGUCGAAGGUGAAGCGUGAGCUUUGCUGGAGCGUGUGGAAAAGCAAAUGUAGGUAUAAGUAACGAUAAAGGGGGUGAGAAACCCCCUCGCCGAAAGACUAAGGUUUCCUGAUCAACGCUAAUCGGAUCAGGGUUAGUCGGGUCCUAAGGCUCAGCCGAACGGUGAGGCCGAUGGCAGAACAGGUUAAUAUUCCUGUACUACCUUAAGGAGUGACGUGGAGACGGAGGCGUGACAGCGCCGCGGACUGACGGAAUAGUCCGUUGAAGGGUGUAGAUGUUGAUUAUCCCAGGCAAAUCCGGGAUAAGAGUCGAACCUGAUAGUAUGGAGCGUUCUUCGGAACAAUCCAAUAGUGCGUGUAAUCAUACUCCCAAGAAAAUCCGCUAAACUUAAUCCUUAAGGUACCCGUACCGCAAACGGACACACGUAGUCGGGUUGAAUAUACUAAGGCGCUUGAGUGAUUCACGGUUAAGGAACUAGGCAAAUUGACCCUGUAACUUCGGGAUAAAGGGUCCCAACGAGAGUUGGGCGCAGAGAAUAGGUCCAGGCAACUGUUUAACAAAAACACAGGGCUGUGCCAAAUUGAAAGAUUACGUAUACAGCCUGACACCUGCCCGGUGCUGGAAGGUUAAGAGGAGAUGUCAUCGCAAGAGAAGCAUUGAAUUGAAGCCCCAGUAAACGGCGGCCGUAACUAUAACGGUCCUAAGGUAGCGAAAUUCCUUGUCGGGUAAGUUCCGACCUGCACGAAUGGUGUAAUGAUCUGGACACUGUCUCAACCGUGAGCUCAGUGAAAUUGUAGUAUCGGUGAAGAUGCCGAUUACCCGCGAUGGGACGAAAAGACCCCGUGAACCUUUACUAUAGCUUAACAUUGAAUUUGGGUAAUUGAUGUGUAGGAUAGGCCGGAGACUUUGAAGCAGGUACGCCAGUAUUUGUGGAGUCGCUGUUGAAAUACGGCCCUUUGAUUAUUUGAGUUCUAACUCGUAGAUACGAGGACACUGUUUGGUGGGUAGUUUGACUGGGGUGGUCGCCUCCAAAAGUGUAACGGAGGCUUCUAAAGGUGCCCUCAGGACGAUUGGUAACCGUCCGUAGAGUGUAAUGGCAUAAGGGCGCUUGACUGGGAGACAGACAAGUCGAUCAGGUAGGAAACUAGAGCAUAGUGAUCCGGUGUUUCCGUAUGGAAGGGACAUCGCUCAAAGGAUAAAAGGUACUCCGGGGAUAACAGGCUGAUCCCUCCCAAGAGCUCAUAUCGAC
rnacentral:rRNA from 1 species